rnacentral:lncRNA from 12 species
UCUUUUUUUUAUUUUUAAGAUUUCUUUAUGUGAGAAAGAAGCUCCUGAGCAAGUGAGGGAGGGCUGGGGGGGAGGGGCAGAGGCAGAGGGAGAAAAUCUCAGAUUCCCCAAUGAGUACAGAGCCCACCAACAUGGGGGCUUGAUCUCAUGACCCUGAGAUCACCCUGAGAUUGUGAACAGAGUUGAAAUCAAGAGUAACCCAUUGAGCCACCCAGGCACGCCUCAAAUCAUUUUCUUUCUUUUUUUUUUUUUUAAAUAAGAUUUUAUUUACUUACUUGACAAAAAGAGCGUGUACACAGGGCAGGGAGUGCAGAGGGAGAGGGAGAAGCAGGCUCCCCACUGAGCAGGGAGCCUGAUGUGGGGCUGGAUCCCAGGACCCCAGAAUCAUGACCCGAGCUGAAGGCACUUAACCAAUUUAACACUUAACCAACUAAACCACCCAGGCGCCCCUCAAAUCAUUUUCUGGUCUGGUUAUGUUACUUCUGUUUUUACAGCUCUUAACAGAGACCAAAUUGACAUAUCAUAAACUGCACAAAUAGUGCAAUUUAUUACAUGCCAUGUGUAUACUCCAUGAAACCAUCACCACAAUCAAGAUAACGAAUAUACUCAUCAAAACCCAGAGUGUCCUCGUGUCUCUUCUAAUGGCUUCUUCUAGCUCCUCCCAAUUCCUACCACAUUAUCCCCAUGCAACCACUGAUCUGAUGUUGUUAGUUCACAUUAACUAGAAUUUUACAUUUUAGAACUUUCUAGACAUAAUUAUACACGGUAUAUUCCUUUUUUUAGAAGACUUUAUUUAUUUAUUCAUAGAGACAGAGAGAGAGAGAGGCAGAGACACAGGCAGAGGGAAAAAGCAGGCUCCAUGCACCGGGAGCCCGACGUGGGACUCGAUCCCGGGUCUCCAGGAUCGCGCCCUGGGCCAAAGGCAGGCGCCAAACCGCUGCGCCACCCAGGGAUCCCCUUUUCUUUCUUUUUAAAUCGGACAUGUUACUUUUUAAAAAUGAAUGUAAUGCAGUUCAGGUGCAGCCAGCCCAGCCAGGCUCUUUAUCGGGAGGCCUGGCGACAGCAGGCUUCAGUUUUGCCAGCACUGGGAGCCCAACGGUUGCCUGCGAGGCUUGGGACCCUCCUUGGUUUUAUGGCACCUCCUUCCUAGCCGGUUGGGGUAAAGGGUUGUUCCCCCUUCCCCCAAACCUGCUCCCUGCCCCUCACCCCCACACAUCCUGCUUCCAGCUGCAUUUUGCCCAGAUAAAGGUUAGCCCAUCCCCCCUGUUCCUCCACACCCUCUGCCCAUGCCCCUCCCGGUGUACCCAUCUCGCCCCUCCCCACCCUAUACAAAUACACUUGAGGGCAGACAGAGACUCCAACUUCUUCGGCUCCUUGCUCUGUGCUCUCAGGUGUUCCUUUUGUCACUCCCUGUGCUUGGCUGAUAAACAUGGAUCCAGUUCCACAGGGUGGCCAUGGCCCAGGGCAUGGUCCUGGGGGGCACCACCCGCCAGGGCCCGGUGGGCACCCCCCUGGCCAUGGCCCAGGGCAUGGUCCUGGGGGGCACCACCCCCCAGGGCCCGGUGGGCACCCCCCUGGCCAUGGUCCAGGGCCCUGUGCACCCCCACCCGGCCAUGGCCCAGAGCCCUGUGUGCCCCAACCUCGCCCACCUCACUAAGGAAGCAGAAGAAAGAGGACACAAGAAUGGGGAGCCUGCUGACCUGUCAUGGGGCCUGA